rnacentral:rRNA from 1 species
UACGUAGGGUGCAAGCGUUGUCCGGAAUUAUUGGGCGUAAAGAGCUCGUAGGCGGUUUGUUGCGUCGGCUGUGAAAUCCCGAGGCUCAACCUCGGGUCUGCAGUCGAUACGAGCAAACUAGAGUGUUGCAGGGGAGACUGGAAUUCCUGGUGUAGCGGUGAAAUGCGCAGAUAUCAGGAGGAACACCAGCGGCGAAGGCGGCGCUCUGGGCCGGCACUGACACUGAGGAGCGAAAGCGUGGGUAGCAAACAGG